GUGUCAGCAGCCGCGGUAAUACGGAGGGUGCAAGCGUUGUUCGGAAUUACUGGGCGUAAAGCGCGUGUAGGCGGUUGAGCAAGUCAGAUGUGAAAUCCUUCCGCUUAACGGGAGAAGUGCAUUUGAUACUACUCGGCUGGAGUUCGGGAGAGGAGAGUGGAAUUCCCGGUGUAGAGGUGAAAUUCGUAGAUAUCGGGAGGAACACCGGUGGCGAAGGCGGCUCUCUGGCCCGGUACUGACGCUGAGACGCGAAAGCGUGGGUAGCAAACAGGAUUAGAUACCCGGGUAGUCC
rnacentral:rRNA from 1 species